rnacentral:tRNA from 1 species
GCAGCGGUAGUUCCGUGGCAGAAUUCACCCCUUCCGUGAAGGAGACCUGGGUUCAAUUCCCAGCCAAUGCG